rnacentral:lncRNA from 1 species
UAGUGAGAUAUAUUGUGAUCUCCAUCGUAAUAUCAUCGAAACUCUUUUCAAUAGAUUGGAAUAUUUUUAAUUCUAUCCUUCGAAGAUCAUCGAUCAUCAAGAUGAUGUCCGAUGAUUUUCACAAUCUAUCUGUGAUAUCUAGCAGUAUGUUGUGGCAAUCUAGUAAAAUAAAAGUAUGAACCCCUAGAUGCAGUUAUCAUAUGAUUCAGUUCUUCUAUCAUGAGUUCCGACUUGAUGGAGGUCAUGAAGAACUCGUCAGAUCCCAUUAUUAGUCAUAUGCUAGAUUGACUCGACUUGAGUUCAUUUAUGAAUUCCGUGGAAACUCUUUUGAAGGAACC